rnacentral:rRNA from 1 species
CUGGGAAACUGCCUGAUGGAGGGGGAUAACUACUGGAAACGGUAGCUAAUACCGCAUAACGUCGCAAGACCAAAGAGGGGGACCUUCGGGCCUCUUGCCAUCAGAUGUGCCCAGAUGGGAUUAGCUAGUAGGUGGGGUAACGGCUCACCUAGGCGACGAUCCCUAGCUGGUCUGAGAGGAUGACCAGCCACACUGGAACUGAGACACGGUCCAGACUCCUACGGGAGGCAGCAGUGGGGAAUAUUGCACAAUGGGCGCAAGCCUGAUGCAGCCAUGCCGCGUGUAUGAAGAAGGCCUUCGGGUUGUAAAGUACUUUCAGCGGGGAGGAAGGUGUUGAGGUUAAUAACCUCAGCAAUUGACGUUACCCGCAGAAGAAGCACCGGCUAACUCCGUGCCAGCAGCCGCGGUAAUACGGAGCGUGCAAGCGUUAAUCGGAAUUACUGGGCGUAAAGCGCACGCAGGCGGUCUGUCAAGUCGGAUGUGAAAUCCCCGGGCUCAACCUGGGAACUGCAUUCGAAACUGGCAGGCUAGAGUCUUGUAGAGGGGGGUAGAAUUCCAGGUGUAGCGGUGAAAUGCGUAGAGAUCUGGAGGAAUACCGGUGGCGAAGGCGGCCCCCUGGACAAAGACUGACGCUCAGGUGCGAAAGCGUGGGGAGCAAACAGGAUUAGAUACCCUGGUAGUCCACGCCGUAAACGAUGUCGACUUGGAGGUUGUGCCCUUG